UCCCUGGUGGACUAGUGGUUAAGAGCGGUAAGAGCGCUGUGGCCUGGGUUUGAUUCCCAGUCAGGGAU